rnacentral:rRNA from 1 species
GUCCACGCCGUAAACGAUGAGUGCUAAGUGUUAGAGGGUUUCCGCCCUUUAGUGCUGCAGCAAACGCAUUAAGCACUCCGCCUGGGGAGUACGGCCGCAAGGCUGAAACUCAAAGGAAUUGACGGGGGCCCGGCCACAAGACGGUGGAGGCAUGUGGUUUAAGUUUACGUAAGACAACGACCGGAAGGAAACCUUAACCCUAACGGUCGUUGUACAUCCUUACUUGACUUCCCUUACGAGAUAGGCGUUUCCCUUUCCGGGGUACGAUAAGUAGACAGGUGGUGGCAUGGUUGUCGU